rnacentral:rRNA from 1 species
CAGCCGCCGCGGUAAUACGUAGGUGGCAAGCGUUAUCCGGAUUUAUUGGGCGUAAAGCGAGCGCAGGCGGUUUUUUAAGUCUGAUGUGAAAGCCUUCGGCUCAACCGAAGAAGUGCAUCGGAAACUGGAAAACUUGAGUGCAGAAGAGGACAGUGGAACUCCAUGUGUAGCGGUGAAAUGCGUAGAUAUAUGGAAGAACACCAGUGGCGAAGGCGGCUGUCUGGUCUGUAACUGACGCUGAGGCUCGAAAGUAUGGGUAGCAAACAGGAUUAGAUACCCUGGUAGUCCAUACCGUAAACGAUGAAUGCUAAGUGUUGGAGGGUUUCCGCCCUUCAGUGCUGCAGCUAACGCAUUAAGCAUUCCGCCUGGGGAGUACGACCGCAAGGUUGAAACUCAAAGGAAUUGACGGGGGCCCGCACAAGCGGUGGAGCAUGUGGUUUAAUUCGAAGCUACGCGAAGAACCUUACCAGGUCUUGACAUACUAUGCAAAUCUAAGAGAUUAGACGUUCCCUUCGGGGACAUGGAUACAGGUGGUGCAUGGCC